CCCUUAGAUGUCCGGGGCUGCACGCGCGCCACACUGAGUGGAUCAGCGUGUGUCUACCCUUCGCCGAGAGGCGUGGGUAACCCGCUGAACCCCACUCGUGAUAGGGAUUGGGGAUUGCAAUUAUUUCCCAUGAACGAGGAAUUCCCAGUAAGCGCGGGUCAUAAGCUCGCGUUGAUUAAGUCCCUGCCCUUUGUACACACCGCCCGUCGCUACGACCGAUUGGAUGGUUUAGUGAGGUCCUCGGAUCGGCCCCGCCGGGGUCGGUCACGGCCCUGGCGGAGCGCCGAGAAGACGAUCAAACUUGACUAUCUAGAGGAAGUAAAAGUCGUAACA
rnacentral:rRNA from 1 species